rnacentral:rRNA from 3 species
GGGUUGUGAGGUUAAGCGACUAAGCGUACACGGUGGAUGCCCUGGCAGUCAGAGGCGAUGAAGGACGUGCUAAUCUGCGAAAAGCGCCGGCGAGGUGAUAUGAACCUUUGACCCGGCGAUGUCCGAAUGGGGAAACCCAGUGCAAUCCGUUGCACUAUCGUUAACUGAAUACAUAGGUUAACGAGGCGAACCGGGGGAACUGAAACAUCUAAGUACCCCGAGGAAAAGAAAUCAACCGAGAUUCCCCCAGUAGCGGCGAGCGAACGGGGAGCAGCCCGGAGUCUGAAUCAGCUUGUGUGUUAGUGGAACGGUCUGGAAAGUCCGACGGUACAGGGUGAUAGUCCCGUACACGAAAGCACACAUGCUGUGAACUCGAAGAGUAGGGCGGGACACGUGGUAUCCUGUCUGAAUAUGGGGGGACCAUCCUCCAAGGCUAAAUACUCCUGACUGACCGAUAGUGAACCAGUACCGUGAGGGAAAGGCGAAAAGAACCCCGGCGAGGGGAGUGAAAAAGAACCUGAAACCGUGUACGUACAAGCAGUGGGAGCCUCUUUAUGGGGUGACUGCGUACCUUUUGUAUAAUGGGUCAGCGACUUAUAUUCUGUAGCAAGGUUAACCGUAUAGGGGAGCCGAAGGGAAACCGAGUCUUAACUGGGCGUUAAGUUGCAGGGUAUAGACCCGAAACCCGGUGAUCUAGCCAUGGGCAGGUUGAAGGUUGGGUAACACUAACUGGAGGACCGAACCGACUAAUGUUGAAAAAUUAGCGGAUGACCUGUGGCUGGGGGUGAAAGGCCAAUCAAACCGGGAGAUAGCUGGUUCUCCCCGAAAGCUAUUUAGGUAGCGCCUCGUGAAUUCAUCUUCGGGGGUAGAGCACUGUUUCGGCUAGGGGGCCAUCCCGGCUUACCAACCCGAUGCAAACUACGAAUACCGAAGAAUGUUAUCACGGGAGACACACGGCGGGUGCUAACGUCCGUCGUGAAGAGGGAAACAACCCAGACCGCCAGCUAAGGUCCCAAAGUCAUGGUUAAGUGGGAAACGAUGUGGGAAGGCACAGACAGCCAGGAUGUUGGCUUAGAAGCAGCCAUCAUUUAAAGAAAGCGUAAUAGCUCACUGGUCGAGUCGGCCUGCGCGGAAGAUGUAACGGGGCUAAACCAUGCACCGAAGCUGCGGCAGCGACACUAUGUGUUGUUGGGUAGGGGAGCGUUCUGUAAGCCGUUGAAGGUGUGCUGUGAGGCAUGCUGGAGGUAUCAGAAGUGCGAAUGCUGACAUAAGUAACGAUAAAGCGGGUGAAAAGCCCGCUCGCCGGAAGACCAAGGGUUCCUGUCCAACGUUAAUCGGGGCAGGGUGAGUCGACCCCUAAGGCGAGGCCGAAAGGCGUAGUCGAUGGGAAACAGGUUAAUAUUCCUGUACUUGGUGUUACUGCGAAGGGGGGACGGAGAAGGCUAUGUCAGCCGGGCGACGGUUGUCCCGGUUUAAGCAUGUAGGCGGAGGUUCCAGGUAAAUCCGGUACCUUAUUAACGCUGAGGUGUGAUGACGAGGCACUACGGUGCUGAAGUGAUAAAUGCCCUGCUUCCAGGAAAAGCCUCUAAGCAUCAGGUAACACGAAAUCGUACCCCAAACCGACACAGGUGGUCAGGUAGAGAAUACCAAGGCGCUUGAGAGAACUCGGGUGAAGGAACUAGGCAAAAUGGUGCCGUAACUUCGGGAGAAGGCACGCUGAUAUGUAGGUGAAGCCCCUGCGGGCGGAGCUGAAAUCAGUCGAAGAUACCAGCUGGCUGCAACUGUUUAUUAAAAACACAGCACUGUGCAAACACGAAAGUGGACGUAUACGGUGUGACGCCUGCCCGGUGCCGGAAGGUUAAUUGAUGGGGUUAGCGGCAACGCGAAGCUCUUGAUCGAAGCCCCGGUAAACGGCGGCCGUAACUAUAACGGUCCUAAGGUAGCGAAAUUCCUUGUCGGGUAAGUUCCGACCUGCACGAAUGGCGUAAUGAUGGCCAGGCUGUCUCCACCCGAGACUCAGUGAAAUUGAACUCGCUGUGAAGAUGCAGUGUACCCGCGGCAAGACGGAAAGACCCCGUGAACCUUUACUAUAGCUUGACACUGAACACUGGUCCUUGAUGUGUAGGAUAGGUGGGAGGCUUUGAAGCGUGGACGCCAGUCUGCGUGGAGCCAACCUUGAAAUACCACCCUUUAAUGGCUGGUGUUCUAACGUAGACCCGUAAUCCGGGUUGCGGACAGUGUCUGGUGGGUAGUUUGACUGGGGCGGUCUCCUCCCAAAGAGUAACGGAGGAGCACGAAGGUUGGCUAAUCCUGGUCGGACAUCAGGAGGUUAGUGCAAUGGCAUAAGCCAGCUUGACUGCGAGCGUGACGGCGCGAGCAGGUGCGAAAGCAGGUCAUAGUGAUCCGGUGGUUCUGAAUGGAAGGGCCAUCGCUCAACGGAUAAAAGGUACUCCGGGGAUAACAGGCUGAUACCGCCCAAGAGUUCAUAUCGACGGCGGUGUUUGGCACCUCGAUGUCGGCUCAUCACAUCCUGGGGCUGAAGUAGGUCCCAAGGGUAUGGCUGUUCGCCAUUUAAAGUGGUACGCGAGCUGGGUUUAGAACGUCGUGAGACAGUUCGGUCCCUAUCUGCCGUGGGCGCUGGAGAAUUGAGGGGGGCUGCUCCUAGUACGAGAGGACCGGAGUGGACGCAUCACUGGUGUUCGGGUUGUCAUGCCAAUGGCACUGCCCGGUAGCUAAAUGCGGAAAAGAUAAGUGCUGAAAGCAUCUAAGCACGAAACUUGCCCCGAGAUGAGUUCUCCCUGAGACCUUGAGUCUCCUGAAGGAACGUUGAAGACUACGACGUUGAUAGGUCGGGUGUGUAAGCGCAGCGAUGCGUUGAGCUAACCGAUACUAAUGAACCGUGAGGCUUAACCUUACAACGCCGAAGCUGUU